GUUCCCACUGUUUCCUCUCAGGAGCAGCUAGCCGGGGGCAUCAACAAGAGUCACCCUGAUGGAAUGGUCCUCCAGGAACUGAUCCUUUCUUCUUGCCGGGGAAGUUUGUGUGCAGGUGGGGGUUGGCUGCCCUUCCCUGGCCCCAGCUCCCAGAGCCCCACCACCCAUAGCCAUGCUGCCUCCAGGGGCCCCAUCCAAAUGGUCCCAUAGGACCCUCCUUCUCAGAUGCCCCAGCCAAAGAGUGCCAGGUCCAGGUGCCAGGAUCAACGAGUUGCCUAGAGGGAAGCAGGAUGACCUUGGAAGCCCGGAUGCGUAGCUUGGAACCCACCAUGGUCUGGAGAAGAGCCAUGGAUGCAGCUGGCAUGUGGCCCCGGCAAGUGAUGGGGCUCGGAGGGCUGGUGGAGGGCGGGGGGCCGUGGAGGAGGAGAGGGCAGGGGGCCCAGGAGGACGAGAGGAGGCAGCUUCUUUUAACACCAGUUCUCCAAGGCCCGUGAUCCAACCUGAGCACCGUUACUCCAACAAAAGCCACAGCCAACACAGUAAAAAGUUUCCAAAUAUAAACAGCGCACAUCCCCAUCAACAUGUUAAUUAGGGCUCAUUAGCUGUGAACAAGCUCCGUGCAGCCGGAGGAGGCAGCCUCGGGUGGAGGUGUCUCCCGGAACCUUCUGUCCGCCCCUGGCGACUCGAGCCUGCGCCCAUCUGCCGGGACCCGGGCUCAGCCUUCUGCCGCGGCCUGCACCCCCUCCUGUUGGGCCUUUUGUGCUGGCGGCGUGGUUCUGGCGGCCUGGGGUCUGCUGAGGAGGGGGUUGCCUAACGCAGGAGGAGCCGCUGACAAUCCGGAGGAUGGCUUGCCCAGAGCGGCAGUAAUGAAUUGGAAGGGCUGCAAGCUGCUCACGGCCGCCAAUCCCGGGUCACAGCGGGGCCCGUACCCCAAGCCCCUUGCGGAGCUCAUGUCACCGGACCAGGGCAAAAUCUGCGUGGAGCGGGAGAGAGGGUGUAAUUCCUUCCUGGCCUGCCCAUUUAAGUAGUAGCUGUAAGAUGAACUCUUCUCAGAGCAAAAUGAAACAAGAAAUCAGUGCAGCCUGGGUCUGCUGCCUUUUAGUUAUCGUUGUCCUGAUUUGCACCACUAAACUUGCGAUGAUCAGAGGUGACUUCCAGAAGGUUUUGGGCAGCCUGGAAGGGGCCGAUAGUUGCCAUCCCUGGGUGGGCCCACCAGGAGGGGCGACCAGAGGGUCCAGGCAGAGCUGGGUUGUGUCAGUCUCAGGACAAGGUUAGAAGUUUUUCACACUAUGGUCUUCAAGCCCACAGAGUGGGAGGUUGGGGAGGAGGAGGGAGAGGGGACCGGCCAGAAGGGUCCCUGCUGGAGCUGGUGCUGCAGAUGCCCAGAUCUGCUUCCUCUGUGGAGAACACACCCACCUCCCAGCCGCCCAGCGACCCGCCUUUGACAGGCAGUGCAAAGGGCUGGCCCCAGGCUGAGGUCCCCUCCCGCCUCUCCCCUGCCCCAGGUGUUCCCUCCCCUCUACCUUUUCUGGGAGCCCUCAUGGGAGUCACCCACCAGGAACCCCCAGGUGGGUGCACCGUCUAGGGCCCCCGCUGAAGACACCUGCAGGUACCUAUACCAGACAUUGUACAGUCGUGAAACUUUCCAAGCUACACGCAGGUCUCAGCCCCCAGCAGGUAAUGGGCGGGUCAUUUCUAAGGGGAAGGUUAAUAGCUGCAGUGGCUAUUCCUGCAGGUUCCAGCUCACGCCGGGGGUCAUACUCUCCACCCCCUUUCAUGUCUCACCUGCCGGCCACCUGCCCUGUGGACCUCGCCCUCCUCAGGGACAGCUUACAGGCUCCUACAGUCCUGGUGUGGAGGCAAAUCCCUGUAAAAAAUCCCCCUGCAAGAGUCGCUCAGAGGCACCUGCGGUGACAUUACGGCUUCUAUUGCCGACGUGCCCUGUGUCUCCCCAGGGGCUGGGGGUGUUCACGGCGGGAAGCCCAGCGACCGAGCAAGGCCUGGCUCUCCCGAGGUUCCGGGCUGUGCAUGGGCUUCCUCCCUGGCCGCAGGGGGAAUCUGCACCCCAUCUCUGACCUGUGGGGCUGGUGACCAGGGCUGGGCCUCUUCCCCACCCAGAGGACGCACCGUGGCCUGUCAGCGUCCUCGGAACCGGCUCCCUGGAUGCCACCAAGACAGAAGCCAUUUCCAGGCACCCAAUGUGGCCGGCCCAGCUGUCUCAGCAGGAAGUGUUCUCAGGAGUGUCCUUUUUGUUCCUGGGGGGUGGGGGCGGGGGCGAGGGCUCCGGGGCUGGGCGGGAGAAGGCAGCCUGCGGGCAUGGGCUGGCCCUUGGUCCCCCAUGUCCCCCGGGGAGGCCCCACCUGCUCCACGCAGGCCCGCUGGCCCUCCCGAUGGGCUGAGAAGGCAGUGAACGUGCGGGGAGCAGCUGGGUCCUGCAGCACAGAGCCGGAGAGGGCCACCUUCCUUCCCCCCUUCCAGCCAGGAGGACCUCCGGGAGCCGACUGCCCCAGCUCCUGGGAUAAAUGAGCAGCCCGAGGGGCUGGCCUCCAAGCCACCGCUCUUCUGCAGGGCAAGGGGCACAGGCGUGCCCAUGGGAGAGUCCUUUGCAGAAGAACAUGAACGCCCCAGACAGGGCCUUAGCCCUCUGGCUGCUGACAAAUUUCAGUGGGUGCGGCAAGAUAACGAGGUGCAUAUGCGCCUGUGUCCAGGGCUCCAGGGGCUGAAGAGGCGCCUGGGGGCUAGAGCAUCUGUGUGUCUCUGGCAGCGGGGCCUGGGGGCCAGGCAGCGGACGCCUCCCCCGCCCACCUGGUCCUCAUCACCAGGACUGGGGAUCUGGAGCCUCCCGAGCAUUUCAACUUGCAGAGCUGGCUGGACACAUUGCAUGAUGUGGCAGACUGACCUUGGCCUCAUCUCGGGUCUUUUUGAGAGGAAGCUGGAUUUCGAACGUCCCCGCAUCUCGAUGCCUCGCCUGGAAGUGCUGCUGCUGUGCCAACACUUUGAAGCUGAGUCUUAGAUCCAACCUUGUUUCCUUUGGGCGUCCGGUGUCGGGCCUGUGCCUGCUGCCAACCCCUUCACCGUGGGGUGCUUUCCAUCUCAUCUGGACCUGGGUGCCGAGUAGGACCGCCGGGUACACCUGUUCCUGUGCUCCCAGCCGCCUAGCCAGGCUCCCCGGUGCUGCUAAGGGGGUAUAUUUGGGGCGGGAACCUGCUCAGGUCCCUCUCCUGUUCACACCCAGCACAGCCUGCGCUUCUACCCGCUGGUCUAUGGGGUCAGGUUCUCCUGUGCCCCCUAGUCCUGGCCCCUUGUGUGCUUCCUGGCGCCCCUGCAUCGUUGCACACCUGUGCCCUCUGCCCGGCGUGCCCGCUCCAUUUGACUGUGCCCUGCCUGCCUUUAAGGCUGGAAUGAGGAGUCACUCAGGAGUCACGAGCCUCCGGUUGGGUUGCAUGUCUGGGCCUCGCCUCACCCCCGGGCCCGCUGGCCCCUCUUCAGCCCAUCAGGUAAAGGUCGCCAGUCCGCGAUGCGGCCCUGCGCGUUGUCUCUCUCUGUACUGCCAGCUCCCGGCCCGACCUUUGCGGGGCCCACCCUGGAGGCCGAGCAGGCCCACCCUGCAGCAGCCCAGCACGGGCUAGAUCGCCGGCUGGCCUCGUCCAUUAUGAGCAGACAUGACCACGGCGCAUGCGUGAGGGUGCUCUCCUCUCUCCGACAGCUCUCCCGCCCCCUCACUCAGUGAGGCCCCCAGAGCACGGCCUUGACUGGGUGGGGAGAUGCACCGGUCAGUCCUGCUGGCCGCCAGGCUCACCGCUCACCUCACACACCGCAUGCUUAUUUUUGCUCGCACGAUGUCCAGUGUUGACACCUUCCCCAAGAGGGACUCCUCUGGCUGUGGAGGCCACGUAGGGACGAUCCAUCGGGGAUGUGGCUGCCUUGGUCCGGAAGUGACAGCAUGGUCUUCCGAUCAUCUUCCUUUGGCCAGAACCAGACAUCCGGCCCCACCGGCAUGCUGUGGGGGUGCGGUGGGAAGGGCAGGCCCCACUGGACACCCGGCUCUGGGACCAGCUCGCUCUCUCUACCAUAGGACUUUGGGCUUGGGCACAGUGCAUGACAGCUCAGUGCCCCAGAUUUCCUGACUUUUAAAGUGAGCACAAUAAAGCUCUUGUGGGGAUUAACGUCAGACCAUCAGGAAAGUGGCUCCUGUGAGGCUGGGUACCAACUACCUAUGUUACCGUUGGUGGCCACUCAGAGUUCCACGAUGACAGAAGCACCUGGAGGAGGCGUCAGUGACAGUUCAGGACACUGUCCUGCACUGCCGGACCCCCCCGGCCCUCCUCCUAGAGAGAGCUCCCUUUCACUCCUGCUUCUGGAACCUGGGGUUGAAAGCUACAGAAUUCACGAAUGCCAUGCCUCAAACACGGCACUCCCCCAAGGCCCCACAUGUGGCUUCUGCAUGACUUUUUUUGGUGUAAGGGCUGUCAAAGAGUGACCAAAGCCUACCAGAACCAGAAGGAGUGGCGUCCAAUUUACAGUUGAGCAAAGAGAGGCCCAGGGCCGCCUGGGUGGCUCAGAUGGUUGAGCAUCUGCCUUUGGCUCAGGUCAUGAUCCCCCGGUCCUGGAACCUGGAACCGACUCUGUAGUGGGCUCCCUCUGGGCUCUGCUCCGGGCCCCCUUCCCAGGGAAGAGGCCUCCUACCACCAGCUUGAGGCAAGUGUCGGUGGAAUGAAAAUGUCUGUGCAGAACGUGUCCCUUGCACUUGUGUGGCAAAAGCUAUCGGGAAAUAACGAGAAAAUUCGAUAAAAGGAGAUGUAAGAAGGCGGAUGGUGUCUUGGGAGUCUUGGGUGUAUUUGUUGAUUAAAGAGAGUAAAGCAGAGAGAGACCUGGAGGCUUGCAGAGCCCCAUCUCACCUGAUCUUUUACCUGAAGACACGAGUGACUAAAUGUGUGCACCAGGUGGAGAAGUGUGAAUGUUCCCCACAGCAGCCUAAAGGUGGAGGAACCCAGGCGUCCAUCAAUGGAUGCAGACAUGAAGGGGAAAGUCCACACAAUGGAAUAUUACUCAGCCUUGAAAAGGAAGGGAAUUCUCACACCUGCUACAACGUGGAUGGGCCUUAAAAUUAUCACGUGGAGUGAAAUAAUCCAAUCGCACAAGGACAAAUAUUUAAGAUUCACUUAUACAUGAUCCCCAGAGUCAAGUCGAAAAACUCACAGAGACAGAAAGUUAGACUAACAGACCAAUGAACAGAAUGGAGAACCCAGAAACAGACUCAGCAUAUAUGGGCAAACAACAUAUGAUAUGAGACAAAAGUGGCCCAGUCAAAGAGGUGGUAUGAUGAUCUUUGCCAUCAAUGGUGCUGGGUCCAUUUGGAUAACCAUCUGAAUAAAAACAGGAAAAUCUUGACCCCUACCUCACACCGUGCAUGGAAAUCAAUUCUACUUUCUAGAAGAUAAUUUAGAAGAAUAUCUGGAAUAUUUUCAUGAUACGGAAAGUACUAACCAUAAAGGAGAAGAUGGACACAUGGGGUUAUAGUAAAACCCAGGGCUCCUGUUCAUCGAAAGUUGCCAUUAAGAGCGUGCAGACCGGACGUAAGAACAAAGCAGGAGGCAUUUGCGGUCGGUGUGACUGACAAAGGGGUCAAGGGAAAACGAGUAAGAGACUUGAACAAGUACUUCACAAAGUGCCUCAGUCAUCGUCAGAGAAAUGUAGACGGAGACACUGCUCUAACCCCAUAGGAUAACUGGCAUGAGUAGAUUGGUGAUUCCACGGGCUGGUGAAGAUGCGGGACCAUGGGGACGCUCCUACAUGGCUGGUAGGCGUGUAAACCGGAACAACCACUUUGGAAAACUGUUUAGCAGAAUCUAUGGAAGCCGAGCGUAUGCCUGCCCCGGGGCCCCACUGCCCUGCUCCUGGACAGCCAACCCGUGGACGUACACGGAGAAGACGUGUGCUCUAGAGGGGGUCCGGCACCAUCAUUUUAAUAGCUCUACAUGGGACGCUCCAGGCUGAGUGGUCAUUUCUCCACCUGUAAUAGUGCCAUGGCGCAGACUUGUCUGAAGGACCAAGCAGUCCUAUAAGCAGUCAUGGCUUAUAAAGCACCAGCAUGUUGUGUGGCGGAGGGGCGGCGUGUAACACUCCCCGGGGCUGCAGAGGGACAGGGAGCAGACAGGGACUCAAGGGCUCAAGUCAAGAACGGUCGGCCAGCGUGUGCAUCCAGUGGUGGAAGGGGCUGCGCUCUCAGAUGGGAGUGGGGUGGAGGUAGGCCCAUCACUGGGUGGGCUCGGGGAGAGGAGCCAGGGCACUCUGCACCUGUCCAGGGGCAGUGGAGGGGGGACAGAAAGCACCUCCUGGGGCAGAGUGACACGAUACUCCCUGUUCAGGAAGGCAAGCUGGCCUUGGACACACCUGGAAAUCACAGCAGGGUGGCCUGUGCACCCUUGGGCCCUCUGUCUGUCCCCUCCUUGACAUUCUGUGGCCUGUGCCCCCCGAAGCUCCACCACCCUCUGCCUGUCGCCUGGUCCAGCCUCACCUGUCUGCAGACUCACCCUGGUUACCCUGCUGACCUUCACCUUUCCUCCGAUCGAUAUCCACAUUUUUACAGAUGACUCCUGGAGAUUGGAGAGCCCUGACACGAGGAAAGACCAAGUGGUGAUGAGGGGCACACUGGGGUUUUGCCCAUGGCUGUUGAACACAAUGCCAGAUGGGCCUGCAAGGGGCAGGAGGCAGGACUGGGCCUCUCCAGGUGAAAACAUUAGGAAGAGUGGGCCACGGAGAGCGCCAGUCCAGGGCACUGCAGUCCUUUUGUGCCAAGGAGCCCUUUGUCAUCUGGUGAAGACAACGGACACUUUCUUGGCAAAAUAGUCUUAAAUCCAUAGAAGACAUAUC